ensembl:snRNA U1 U1 spliceosomal RNA
GUAUUAACCUAGCAAGGGAGAUACCCCAGGGUCAUGGUUUCCCCAGGGCAGGGUUCCUUUAUUACACUUGGGUCUGUUGACCCCUGUGAUUGAUUUCCCCAAAUGCUGGAAACUUGACUGUACAAUUUGUGGUAGUGGGGGACUGCAUUCACGUUACCCCCUC